rnacentral:rRNA from 1 species
AUUGAACGCUGGCGGCAUGCCUUACACAUGCAAGUCGAACGGUAACAGGUUAAGCUGACGAGUGGCGAACGGGUGAGUAAUGUAUCGGAACGUGCCCAGUCGUGGGGGAUAACUGCUCGAAAGAGCAGCUAAUACCGCAUACGACCUGAGGGUGAAAGCGGGGGAUCGCAAGACCUCGCGCGAUUGGAGCGGCCGAUAUCAGAUUAGGUAGUUGGUGAGGUAAAGGCUCACCAAGCCAACGAUCUGUAGCUGGUCUGAGAGGACGACCAGCCACACUGGGACUGAGACACGGCCCAGACUCCUACGGGAGGCAGCAGUGGGGAAUUUUGGACAAUGGGCGCAAGCCUGAUCCAGCCAUGCCGCGUGCGGGAAGAAGGCCUUCGGGUUGUAAACCGCUUUUGUCAGGGAAGAAAAGGUUCUGGUUAAUACCUGGGACUCAUGACGGUACCUGAAGAAUAAGCACCGGCUAACUACGUGCCAGCCGCCGCGGUAAUAC